UACGGAGGGUGCAAGCGUUGUCCGGAUUCAUUGGGUUUAAAGGGUGCGCAGGCGGGCCAUUAAGUCAGGGGUGAAAGACGGUUGCUCAACAAUCGCAGUGCCUUUGAUACUGGUGGUCUUGGGUGACCGUGAGGUAGGCGGAAUGGGUGGUGUAGCGGUGAAAUGCGUAGAUAUCUGGAGGAACACCGGUGGCGAAGGCGGCAUUCUGGACUGCAACUGACACUGAAAGACGAAAGCCAGGGGAGCAAACGGG
rnacentral:rRNA from 1 species